UGGGGAAUAUUGGACAAUGGGCGAAAGCCUGAUCCAGCCAUGCCGCGUGUGUGAAGAAGGUCUUCGGAUUGUAAAGCACUUUAAGUUGGGAGGAAGGGCAUUAACCUAAUACGUUAGUGUUUUGACGUUACCGACAGAAUAAGCACCGGCUAACUCUGUGCCAGCAGCCGCGGUAAUACAGAGGGUGCAAGCGUUAAUCGGAAUUACUGGGCGUAAAGCGCGCGUAGGUGGUUUGUUAAGUUGGAUGUGAAAUCCCCGGGCUCAACCUGGUAACUGCAUUCAAAACUGACUGACUAGAGUAUGGUAGAGGGUGGUGGAAUUUCCUGUGUAGCGGUGAAAUGCGUAGAUAUAGGAAGGAACACCAGUGGCGAAGGCGACCACCUGGACUAAUACUGACACUGAGGUGCGAAAGCGUGGGGAGCAAACA
rnacentral:rRNA from 1 species